UGUGUGGUUUCAGGAUCAGACAUGGACCGUGGUAAAGGAAAGGCACCGUGAGGAUUCAGGCCAUGGGAAGAUGUGUGGUGAAUGGGUCAUUGUAGAUAGAUGUGAAGUAUUGAUAGCCUAUUGUGCAACUUGUGAACUUAUGAUAGACUAAGUGUGUAACUUAUUAGUAUGAACCUAUGAAUGAUGUAUGGAUCUCAUUUUAUAUAUAUACAAUCGAUUUGCCCCUUAUGUUCUUUUGUUUAGAUUGAUUGU
rnacentral:lncRNA from 1 species